rnacentral:rRNA from 1 species
UACGUAGGGGGCAAGCGUUGUCCGGAAUCAUUGGGCGUAAAGAGCGUGUAGGCGGCCCGAUAAGUCCGCUGUGAAAGUCCAGGGCUCAACCCUGGGAUGCCGGUGGAUACUGUCGGGCUCGAGUCCGGAAGAGGAGUGUGGAAUUCCUGGUGUAGCGGUGAAAUGCGCAGAUAUCAGGAGGAACACCAGAGGCGAAGGCGGGCAUCUGGGCCAACACUGACGCUGAGGCGCGAAAGCUAGGGGAGCAAACAGG